UGUUUGUGUAAAGGUACGGUAUAAAAGCGGUCUCAGCACCGCCGAACACUUGUAUCACUGCAUCGGCGGACAAUACUAUACGCACUGCAUUGGUGGACACAAGACGCACUCUGUCGGCAUACUGCAUCAGAAGACAAUACAAAGCACACUGCAUCGGAGGACAAUACAAGACAAAUAUGAGGUUAAUCGUACUGGCUAUUUGCAUUGCAGUCUGUGUUUCGUUAGCUGGUGCACAGGCUGGAAAAUGUCGUGCAAAUGAAAACGGUGUCCCUUGCAGCUGUGGUGGGUCACAGAAAGGUGUUUGUUUAAUCGGGCAAUGUAUAUGUCCGAAUGUUAGAAGGAAACGGUCUUCAUGUUCAAGACACAGCCAAUGUCGCUAUUGUGGAGGGUAUUGUAAGGGCGGUUCUUGUGCUUGUCCAGCCUAGAGGAUUCAGAUAUAACAAAGACAAGAAGAAACACUAAUGUUGUUUCGCAGGAUAAGCAAAACAUCAAUAAUAAAAUUGGACAAACGAAAUCAAAUUAUUUACUAUAAAAAUAGUUUUUUAAAACAGCAAUGUAUUUGCUUUUGAAAAUAAACUUAUUUUUCCUUU
rnacentral:lncRNA from 1 species